rnacentral:rRNA from 1 species
GACGAAUGCUGGCGGCGUGCCUAAUACAUGCAAGUUGAGCGAUGAAGAUUGGUGCUUGCACCAAUUUGAAGAGCAGCGAACGGGUGAGUAACGCGUGGGGAAUCUGCCUUUGAGCGGGGGACAACAUUUGGAAACGAAUGCUAAUACCGCAUAACAACUUUAAACAUAAGUUUUAAGUUUGAAAGGUGCAAUUGCAUCACUCAAAGAUGAUCCCGCGUUGUAUUAGCUAGUUGGUGAGGUAAAGGCUCACCAAGGCGAUGAUACAUAGCCGACCUGAGAGGGUGAUCGGCUACAUUGGGACUGAGACACGGCCCAAACUCCUACGGGAGGCAGCAGUAGGGAAUCUUCGGCAAUGGACGAAAGUCUGAUCGAGCAACGCCGCGUGAGUGAAGAAGGUUCUCGGAUCGUAAAACUCUGUUGGUAGAGAAGAACGUUGGUGAGAGUGGAAAGCUCAUCAAGUGACGGUAACUACCCAGAAAGGGACGGCUAACUACGUGCCAGCCGCCGCGGUAA